UGACCGAGCCUGUGCGAUUGAAACCCGUGAACCUUGUCAGAUGGGGAACCAAGCAGCAAUAAGCGGAUCUUUUGAUGUGUUACGGUAAACUCGGUCUGA
rnacentral:SRP_RNA from 1 species